CAACCAGAGUCCCAAUUGGGACAAACCUCAGACCUGUGAUAGCUACCAUGGACAGUAUCUUCUCCUGCUGGGUGAUCUUUGGUCUCCUGGGGUCAGGAUACAUGGCUCCAGGGGUAGAGCAAACUCCCAGACACAAGAUCACUGAGAUUGGACAGCCUGUGAUUCUGAGAUGUGACCCUAUUUCUGGUCACCAGUACAUCUAUUGGUACCGACAGACUGCAGAAAAAGGAAUGGAGUUUAUGGUUUAUAUUUAUAACAAGGACCCCAUGGAAAAGACAGACCUUUUCAAUGAUCGAUUCUCAAUUGAGAAAACUGAAGGAUCCUACUACACUAUGAAGAUCCAUCCCGUGCAGAUCGGAGACUCAGCCAUGUAUUUCUGUGCCAGCAGUCAGCCACAGCCUCACACAGACAUUUCCUGUGCCUACAAAAUCUCAGUGCCUCCUCAUCUCUCCAGGCUCUGA